GCGGGGUGAGAUUCACAGGCUUGGGCUCCAACUCCAGGCGGGCUCAGCAGCCUCUGCUUUCCGGGAAGUCCCUUCACCUUGCGGGGCCUUGGCUUCCUUCUUCCUUGUCUGGACAACGAGGAAGGAUGAGGCCUUCCCUGGAGAGCUGGUGCUCCAGACUGAGGAAGGCAAGUAAAGGGCCUAACAUAGUGCCCGGCAGCCAGGAGGGAAGCCCCCAACACACACCGGCUCUUAGUAAUCACCUCUACGUCCAGGAAGUUCCGUGGCAGAAGUGGGUGUAUGAAUGAUUCCAACCAAGAACCAUUAGUACCGACAGAGAAUUCACAUGCCCUCAACUCCUGUUUUUUGGGGUUUUCUUUUGAGACAGGGUCUUGCUUUUUCACCCAGGCUGGAGAACAGUGGCGUGAUCAUAGCUCACACAGCCUCAACCUACUGGGCUCAAAACAAUCCUCCUGCCUUAGCCUCCUGAGUAGCUGGGACUACAGGUGUGUGCCACCAUGCCUGGCUAACUUUAAAAUUUUUUGUAGAGAUGGUGUUUCGCCACGUUGCCCAGGCUGGUCUCGAACUCCUGAGCUCAAGCGAGCUGCCCGCCUUAACCUCCCAAACUGCUGAGAUUACAGGUGCGAGCCACGGCGGUGGCCCUCAAUUCCCUUUUAGUCGUAUGGACACCUGAACAGUAAGUGGGACCAUCCUCACUGCCCAUCAGCAGUAAGAACAUCCGCACAGGUGCUGAUGGUGCAACCACAGUCUAUCAGGGGGCCCUGACUCACCCACUGCUUCUCAACAGAGCCACUUCAAGUCCUCCACUGCCACCCCAUCACCCAGAAAACCCGUGACAGCCCUCCCAAUCCUUCCUCAUUGCCCCACCUCCCCAAAUGUACCAUGGACAUCUGAGAAUAGGAAGGUUCAACACACCCCAUGAUGGGACAGUCAAGAGGUAACUCCUGUGCGGGUGCGGGCCCAACAAGUUGGCAUUCUGCCCAGAUCUGCGACCCUGGGGAAGUGGGGCCUAUCAGGCUAGAAGGGACCAUCAAAGACAUCCCUUUGGAUCCAUCUUCUGAAUCAUGGUACAGCACAGCCUGCACCCGACACGACUGUGGCCUGAGUCACUGCUGCCUCUCACCUGGAUUGUCACACUAGCUCCUUAGCGGUCCUUCUGCUUCCACCCUUACUUACCCCCUGCAGUCUGUGUCCGACACAGCAGCUUGGGAUCCUGUUACAAACAGAAGUCAGCUGCUGGGUGUAGCUCAUGCCUGUAGUCCCAGCUACUGAGGAGGCUGAGGUGGGUCACUUGACUCUGGGAGUUUAAGGCUGUAGGCCGCAGUGACAGCGCCUGUGAAUAGCCACUGCACCCCAGCCUGGGCCACAUAGUGAGACCCCAUCUCGAAAAAAAAAAAGCAAAAACAUGGAAGUCAGGUCAUGACACGCUUCUGCUUGAAACCCUCAACCGUGUGCCCAUUUCGCUGAUAAAAUGGACAGGUCUUACAACAGCCUAUAGGCCCUGGACAACCUGGUCCCUGGUUUCCUCUCCUAGUAUUCUCGUCUUUGGUCACCCCACUCCUGCCUACUGACCCUGACCCCCUGAUGCUCCUCCAAUACAAAAGACAGGCUCCUGCCCCAGGGCCUUUGCCUUCGCCGUUUGUUCUGCAGGAACACUCUCUAGACCCCUACAUGGCUCACUUGCUCACCUUUAAAUCUUUGUCCAAAUGCCACCCCCUUUAAAUUGCAGCAUCUCGGCUGGGCGCGGUGGUCCUUGUGUCUUUGACUUAGCACAUUCUCAAGGUUCAUCCGUGUUGUAGCAUGUAUCAGGACUUCACUCCUUUAAAGAUACAGUUUUCACAAGCUCCCCAGCUAGUUCUGAUGAGUGGGCUUUGGGAGAAAAAGAGGAGCCAAUUCAUAUCAGGUGAUUCUUGGGUUAUUAUUGAGACAUGGGGCCUCAUCCCUUCUUCCUUGUGUGCCUGUCUCAGGGGCCUCAAGAGGAACAGGAGGAACACUGGCUGCCUGCCUCUUCCAGACUCCAGAGGUUGGGCAAGUCUCCCAUACACUGGAGGGAGGUGUGUGUCUAUGGACAGUAGCCUGGCUGCUCUGGAGAUCAGGCGGAUUAACUGCAAGAGACACACACACACAAGGGGAUUGUCUCAACUCGAAGACUUUAAUGUACAUUAUGCUCUUGGAAAAACAUCUCCAAGGAAACAAGUGG
rnacentral:lncRNA from 10 species